rnacentral:lncRNA from 1 species
UUCCUUGUUGCAUGGGGCUGCAUGGGGCUCAUAUAAUUCGAGUUCAGUUCUUCACUCUUCAAGCAACCUGUCUUUGUCACAUGUAGCUACAUACCUAUCGUUCAGCACCAUGUAGAGACUUCGUGGUCCUCUGCCAGUCGGCCAUGGAAUUGCUUUCAAAGUUGCGCUCAAGUCUACAGGGCGAGUCUUCAAGUCCUGCUAAGCCCUGGCAUCAAUCUUUGGAAGGUAUUUUAUGAGCUGCUGGUGCUGGGGCUGGGCUGCGCUGUCGCAGGGGGUGUCGGACCCUCGUUGACCGGGUCUACAACUAAGCCAGGUCUUGACGCUGCUGUUACAGGAUGUAAAUCAAGCAUCAGAGACCAAGUCUGGAAUCAACAGUGCCAGGUGAGGCAGGUCAGGACACAUAGCGACAGCCAUUUCAGGGGGUCAACAAGCGACAACAAAUUCAGGGCUGAGCAUCCAUGCGCAGUAUGGACGAAGUUGUAAGAGCAUAAGCAGAGAUUCAGAGUGUGAAGCUCCGCCCCUCCCCCUCCCCUUGUCUCCUCAGGUCCGGCACUGGAAUUCGACUCGGGGUGUAGCGCGCGUAAAUGCGUGGCCCUUCUAACCCUCACCAGGCAAGUUUGAUCGGAAGUUGCUACACAACUCAUAAUAGGAUGAAUGAUAGGAUUUGAAUGACGUACGUGGGAAGUUAGUUCUAGGGGACCGAAUGCGGUCUAGGCCCUGCCCUGCACGACACCGUGCCACCAUGCACUGACCAACGUACCCCAAACACCAUGCAGGCCGAGCUCAAGUACGGAGGCGGCUAGCGGCAAGCGGCAGACUUCAGGUGGCGGCAGCGGAAUUGGCAGGCGGCGCUGUGCGCGCAUGGUGUUAUGGUGUGAUCGGCGGGUGGCUGGGUGUAGUGCUGGCAGGGGAUCCGUAUCGGUUGCCUUCACACUUGCCUCGAGACCCUGAGUAUGCCUGGUCUGUACGUUUAGUGUUGUGUAGCAAUGGUAGGCCUUGCAGAAUGUGUGCGUGCAGCACGUGGUGGGUUGCGGGUCGUGUGGACGGAGCGGGCGGGAGAGCCGUGCGGACUUGCACCAUUUUGGCACACCACGACAGUACGAGGGGCACGUGUCGGAGCGCAGAUGCAUGAACUGUAACACAUCAAGAGAGCUUCAGGUGCCUCAUGUGCCCCAUUUUAUGUGCCGUGCGGGACCUGCACAGUAUCGGGUGGGACGCACACAGCGCCGGGUGG